UUUUAGUACUCAGCUCCUAGUUUUUGAACGUUAUUUGGUUAUAAUCUAAUGGUAUGUUUGUGUUGUUGUUACUUACCUCUCCCUUUGUGCCAGACCUCUUAGACAUGCCCGCAAGCUUUGAGGUUUGUUGCGAGCUUUUGCUCCGUGGAUCUUGUAUCUUCUCUAUCUCAUUUUCUCUUGCAGACCCUUGCCCAUCCUGUAAAACGUUACCAGAGGCUGCUUCGAUUCUCUACUGCCACCAUGCGGUGAACCAGAGCCUUUAACGUCUUGCUGACCAAGCCUAUUCUCAAGAUCAUCAACCUUAUGUUCCAAGUUGACAAUAUCAGCCUCCGCCUGAGCUACUUCUUGCAGAUCUUUCUUCAACUAUGAAACAAAAACAUAUGUUUCAAGUUGAAUAUGUAAUGUUAACACAGGCAGAAAAUGAAGGAGAGCAACCUUUUCAUCGGUUGUUUCUGGAAUAGUUUGAUUCCCUUUGGACAUGUUAAGUCCUGAUUCAAGAGCUGACUUCCUGUC